rnacentral:lncRNA from 1 species
AGGCAGGUGACUUGCCUAGAGUUAUACAGCUAAGGGCAGAGGCAAGACUUAAAACCCAGCAUUCUGACUCCCAAUCCACUGCUUUUCCACUCACAUUGUUCCUCUCUUUCUCCUAGUUGUGGGGUCCCCCCCGGGGAUUUCGUCCUGAGCAGAUCCUGCAGCUCGGUUGGCUCUUAAUAGGUCUAGGAGAUCGGGAACUACAGGAGCUGAUCCUAGUGGACUGGGGAGUACUGAGCACCCUGGGGCAGAUAGAUGGCUGGAGCUCCACUCAGUUUCCUACGGCAGAGUGGUCGGCAUGUGAGCCACCUGGACUUCAUUCAUCUGACAGCGCUGGGUUAUACGCUCUGUGGACUGCGGCCAGAGGAGCUCCAGCACAUCAGCAGUUGGGAGUUUAGGUCACUUGUGAAGGGGCUGAGGGUGGUGGUGCUGAAGUAAAGGUGGACUUACUGGGGAAAGAAGGAUCAUGAA